rnacentral:rRNA from 1 species
AUUGAACGCUGGCGGCAUGCUUUACACAUGCAAGUCGAACGGUAACAGGGAGCUUGCUCCGCUGACGAGUGGCGAACGGGUGAGUAAUGCAUCGGAACGUACCCAGUCGUGGGGGAUAACGUAGCGAAAGUUACGCUAAUACCGCAUACGUCCUGAGGGAGAAAGCGGGGGACCGUAAGGCCUCGCGCGAUUGGAGCGGCCGAUGUCGGAUUAGCUAGUUGGUAGGGUAAAGGCCUACCAAGGCAACGAUCUGUAGUUGGUCUGAGAGGACGACCAGCCACACUGGGACUGAGACACGGCCCAGACUCCUACGGGAGGCAGCAGUGGGGAAUUUUGGACAAUGGGCGCAAGCCUGAUCCAGCAAUGCCGCGUGCAGGAAGAAGG